CCGCACGCGCGCUACACUGAUACACUCAGCGAGUCCAUCCUUGGCCGAAAGGUCCGGGUAAUCUUGUCAAUGUGUAUCGUGAUAGGGAUAGAUUAUUGUAAUUAUUGAUCUUGAACGAGGAAUUCCUAGUAAACGCAAGUCAUCAGCUUGCAUUGAGUACGU
rnacentral:rRNA from 1 species